rnacentral:lncRNA from 1 species
GCCCCACAGGCUCCUUUUGUGCAAACGGUUUAAACCUCCACAUAAUUUAUAAUUUUGUACAGUGACAACACGGAUAACACUGCAUAUAAAAUGGAUAUCAUUGUAAGUAUCAUCUCUUUUCUUCCUGGGUAAUUAAAAAAAGGCACAGACUUUUGUACAAGAAGAUAAAAGAGCAUACUUUAAAUACCUACAAUGUCUAAAGUUAUUCUUUCUUCCUCUCCACAAUUCUAAAAACUUCACUGCUCAUCUUAUAUCCAGUUGAAUGGAAACAAUGAGACAAAGUACACUCUAAAACCCUUGACUAGCGAAAAAUCAAUGAGAAAAGGAUUCAAUCAACUAUGGGAAAUAACGUGAUAAAUGAUCUAUUAGAGUAGCACCACCCUGAAAUUUUAUAGAUCUAACAUUUACAUCUAGAGAGCAUUCAAAAACUUCAAAAUUGAGUAAAUUUGCAAGAAAAUCGUUCUACUAAAUCCUGCGAGCUGACGAGCUCAGAAUACAAGACUAAACGCCACAUCCCCCAGUCUCAAGAACAUAAAUCCACAUCUAAUAAUCUGAACCAGAACAAAAAUCAGAAUACUACAGACCUUGAGAUAUCCAAACCCAAACGACAGCCACAAAACCGAAAUCUAUAUCAGAAUUACGCCUACAACCUAAUCAGCAAAACCUAGGCAAUCAGAACUCAAAUCUAAGCGAACAUAAAAAAUAAUACAGUCAAUCAAAUAAAAUCACUCAGGAUCUACACAAAUACAGCUCGAGAAAAGCUCAAGUCACGUCAUCUCAUUCCAUUUUCCUUACAAUGUUUCGCUAACCAAACAAGAUACGAUUCGAUAAUUCAAAUCAAGCUAUUUAAACUCAAUAAAUUCACUAAAAGUAUUUUAUUAACAAAAAAAAACGAGAAACAUAAAAGGAAAUGUACCUGUAACAAAUUAAGGAUCUGAUCGAGACCAAACGAUAGAGGAGCAAAUCAGAAUCUAUAAACAAACAUCAUCCUCAUAUCAAAUAUUUGUCUUAUAUUUAAGAUCUGCGAUGUUUUGCACGUAGACAGAGAGAUGAAGAGCUCAAAACAUAUAUAUAUAUAUAGAGAGAGAGAGAGAGAGAGGGAAAGAAGCAUACAUACGUAUAUAAGCGUCUGUAUAGGCGUAUAUAUAGGUGUCAACAGAGAAGUAAGAUAAGAGUUCGCGAACGUGACUUGCCCGCUAGAAAGAUAGAAACGAGGAGGAGAGG